UACGUAGGGCGCAAGCGUUGUCCGGAAUUAUUGGGCGUAAAGGGCUCGUAGGCGGUUUGUCGCGUCGGGAGUGAAAACACCGGGCUUAACUCGGUGCUUGCUUCCGAUACGGGCAGACUAGAGGCAUGCAGGGGGAGAACGGAAUUCCUGGUGUAGCGGUGAAAUGCGCAGAUAUCAGGAGGAACACCGGUGGCGAAGGCGGUUCUCUGGGCAUGUCCUGACGCUGAGGAGCGAAAGUGUGGGGAGCGAACAGG
rnacentral:rRNA from 1 species